GAUGAACGCUGGCGGCGUGCCUAAUACAUGCAAGUCGAGCGAACGGACGAGAAGCUUGCUUCUCUGAUGUUAGCGGCGGACAGGUGAGUAACACGUGGAUAACCUACCUAUAAGACUGGGAUAACUUCGGGAAACCGGAGCUAAUACCGGAUAAUAUUUUGAACCGCAUGGUUCAAAAGUGAAAGACGGUCUUGCUGUCACUUAUAGAUGGAUCCGCGCUGCAUUAGCUAGUUGGUAAGGUAACGGCUUACCAAGGCAACGAUGCAUAGCCGACCUGAGAGGGUGAUCGGCCACACUGGAACUGAGACACGGUCCAGACUCCUACGGGAGGCAGCAGUAGGGAAUCUUCCGCAAUGGGCGAAAGCCUGACGGAGCAACGCCGCGUGAGUGAUGAAGGUCUUCGGAUCGUAAAACUCUGUUAUUAGGGAAGAACAUAUGUGUAAGUAACUGUGCACAUCUUGACGGUACCUAAUCAGAAAGCCACGGCUAACUACGUGCCAGCAGCCGCGGUAAUACGUAGGUGGCAAGCGUUAUCCGGAAUUAUUGGGCGUAAAGCGCGCGUAGGCGGUUUUUUAAGUCUGAUGUGAAAGCCCACGGCUCAACCGUGGAGGGUCAUCGGAAACUGGAAAACUUGAGUGCAGAAGAGGAAAGUGGAAUUCCAUGUGUAGCGGUGAAAUGCGCAGAGAUAUGGAGGAACACCAGUGGCGAAGGCGACUUUCUGGUCUGUAACUGACGCUGAUGUGCGAAAGCGUGGGGAUCAAACAGGAUUAGAUACCCUGGUAGUCCACGCCGUGAACGAUGAGUGCUAAGUGUUAGGGGGUUUCCGCCCCUUAGUGCUGCAGCUAACGCAUUAAGCACUCCGCCUGGGGAGUACGACCGCAAGGUUGAAACUCAAAGGAAUUGACGGGGACCCGCACAAGCGGUGGAGCAUGUGGUUUAAUUCGAAGCAACGCGAAGAACCUUACCAAAUCUUGACAUCCUUUGACAACUCUAGAGAUAGAGCCUUCCCCUUCGGGGGACAAAGUGACAGGUGGUGCAUGGUUGUCGUCAGCUCGUGUCGUGAGAUGUUGGGUUAAGUCCCGCAACGAGCGCAACCCUUAAGCUUAGUUGCCAUCAUUAAGUUGGGCACUCUAAGUUGACUGCCGGUGACAAACCGGAGGAAGGUGGGGAUGACGUCAAAUCAUCAUGCCCCUUAUGAUUUGGGCUACACACGUGCUACAAUGGACAAUACAAAGGGCAGCGAAACCGCGAGGUCAAGCAAAUCCCAUAAAGUUGUUCUCAGUUCGGAUUGUAGUCUGCAACUCGACUACAUGAAGCUGGAAUCGCUAGUAAUCGUAGAUCAGCAUGCUACGGUGAAUACGUUCCCGGGUCU
rnacentral:rRNA from 1 species